CCCCCCUUUCACUCCCUAGUUAGACAUACUUAAUGUCUAACUAGAGAGUGAAAUUGGUAGACUAAUGUUAGCGGCAUAACACAAUAGUCAGAUCCUCAAAACAUGAUAACCUGGGCCAGCAUGUCUACCACUGCAGCAGAGCUACCUGUCCUUUACUGUGCUGAAUGUGCUCGUCCCUGCCUGUAGUCUAGCUGAACAGAAACAGUGUUUAAACUCUUAUCACCGUGGGUGUAGUGUGUAAUGUUGUGACAUCGGUGUUGUGCUCCUCCUAUGUGAAGUAAUGUUGUCAGUGUUUUACAAUGUUACGUCAGCUACUGAAUCAUGAGCUGGGAUGUCACUGUUUUUAACCACUGUAACAUGGUAUUAGUUUAAUGGAAGGUUUGACAGCAUGACUGCUGUGUGCUGUUAGAUAUCCCUCCUCCUAGCCCUGUGUUGUUACAGACCAUCUGUGUUUAUCUGUUGGCGAUGCAAUACUGCAUGUGUUUCUUUUCUGUCCCCAGGGUCGGGAUGGAUUACCCAUACCUGGAUGUUGGCAUAAGUGAUGACUGACCGGGACCUGGGAUCUGUACAUAUCGAUAUAUAUUUUUCAAAUAAAACUCAAGUGUUGUUUUUUGUUGUUGUUGCCAAUUCUAAUUUAAUAUAUUGAGUUUUUCGUAUUGGAAUUUAGAUUGUGGGUCUAUCACAAUCAAUAUUUUGUACUUUUUGCAUAUGAAAAGAAAACUAGUUUUUUUUUAGUUUAGAGAUGACUUACAAGAAGGAUAUCAUGCACACAAAGAGGAGAGACUGGUGACAAACGGAAAGCAGCAGCAAAUGCACUCAACACCUACCGGAUGGACAAAUGUUGCUGCUUUUAUCUAUACGGGGAGAAAUAAAUCAUUGAUUCUGACGAACAGGCUCACUAGUGUUCCCAUAUUGGAGUGUACAACUCCACCUGCACCUUGCAAACAAAUCUACCCCAUCACUCCUGUGAAUGCUGUUUGCUUUGAAAGGACCAGUCCUCACGGCAGGGACCCAAUGCCAGGUACCCAUCCCAACCUUAGGAGAGAGGUAUGGGGAGGCACAGAGGAUGGCCCUCACAGUUGAAUAGGAGCCACACAGACUGACUGCGCUGGACAGAGACAGAUGGCUACACCAGCAUGGAGGAAAUAUGGCUUUCACUCUUCAGCUGCAAUCCUAACUGGUACUGGAGGGACUUGAUUCAAACACCAGAUCCCUCACAACAAAUUACAGACACACACUAGCUUAGAUGAAUGGAUUUAUUUCAAGUCCUUCUAAAUCCCUUAGCAGUGUGUUAUCCAUUACAUGCGGUUGUGUGUUUUUGUCAUAAUGUGUGUAAAAACGAAUCAGAUCUGAAAUGAACACAUGUUUUAAUACCAUGAUGUUUGGAUGGCUUUUUAGAUUUAACCUUUGU
ensembl:lncRNA